rnacentral:rRNA from 1 species
CCUACGGGAGGCAGCAGUGAGGAAUAUUGGUCAAUGGGAGCAAUCCUGACCCAGCAAUCCCGCGUGUGGGAUGACAGGGCUCAGCCUUGUAAACCACUGUCGGAUGGGACGAGAGGGGGUCUUAGGCCCCUGGGACGGUACCAUCAAAGAAAGGCUCGG